rnacentral:ncRNA from 1 species
AAAAAGAAGCGACCCGCAGGGAGGAGCCAUGUGGGUCGAAUAGGUAAAAACCAUUAUUCAUCCUUCAUGUCUUUGCCGACACGGAUCAGAACAGAUGGUGAUGCUAUUUGGAUUUUAAUUGUUAGGAGCCCGUGGAUAUUGGCAGUAAA